rnacentral:rRNA from 1 species
GCCUAAAGAGAAGCUUGCGGCUGAUUAGCUUGUUGGUGAGGUAAUAGCUCACCAAGGCGGCGAUCAGUAUCUGGUUUGAGAGGACGAUCAGACACACUGGAACUGAGACACGGUCCAGACUCCUACGGGAGGCAGCAGUAGGGAAUUUUCCGCAAUGGGCGAAAGCCUGACGGAGCAAUACCGCGUGAGGGAUGACGGCCUAUGGGUUGUAAACCUCUUUUUUCAGGGAGGAAUAAAUGACGUGUACCUGAAGAAUAAGCAUCGGCUAACUCCGUGCCAGCAGCCGCGGUAAGACGGAGGAUGCAAGUGUUAUCCGGAAUCACUGGGCGUAAAGCGUCUGUAGGUGGUCCAAUAAGUCAACUGUUAAAUCUUGAGGCUCAACCUCAAAACCGCAGUCGAAACUAUUAGACUAGAGUAUAGUAGGGGUAAAGGGAAUUUCCAGUGGAGCGGUGAAAUGCGUAGAUAUUG